GCUUCCGCGGAAAGCUCGAGCAAGAGAUUUUCCUGCCCCCAAAUGCCUAUGGACAGCAGUUUAGAAGGCGACACCGAAGCGAGCGGAGAAUCCUACAGAAAGCACAAAAGUGAAAAACAAGUGCCAAAAUCUCGUGUGAAGGAUACCGAGGCACAGUUUAGGAAAAAACAGCUGGACCUUUUGUUUCCUCCUGAAGCAUGAAAGGGAGGAGAUUGUCUUCGGCAAGAAGUUGUGAGGCUGCGCAAGAUCUUCAAAGCAGAUUUCUUCAGCCACUCCUCGUCCAGAAGUAUCCAUUUAAGGAGGUUGACCUCGCGGUAAAAAUUGCGGACAUCAUGAAGGUACCGACGCCACCAACUCAGCAGCUAACACCACCACCUCAGCAGCCAAAUGAGGAAGGUUAACUGUAGAGGGCUCACCUCACUUGACGAUUUAAAUAAAGUGUGUUUGCGUUUGAC
rnacentral:lncRNA from 1 species